AGUUGCGUAGCUCAGUUGGAAGAGCAUUGGGCUAGUAUUCCAAAGGUCGUAGGUUCGAAUCCCACCGUGGCCG
rnacentral:tRNA from 1 species